UACAGAGGAUGCAAGCGUUAUCCGGAAUGAUUGGGCGUAAAGCGUCUGUAGGUGGCUUUUUAAGUCCGCCGUCAAAUCCCAGGGCUCAACUCUGGACAGGCGGUGGAAACUACCAAGCUGGAGUACGGUAGGGGCAGAGGGAAUUUCCGGUGGAGCGGUGAAAUGCGUAGAGAUCCGGAGGAACCCCAGAGGCGAAGGCGGCGUCCUGGCUCACAACUGACGCUCAUACACGACAGCAUGGGGAGCGAACGGG
rnacentral:rRNA from 1 species